rnacentral:rRNA from 1 species
GACGAACCGUACGAACGUUAUUCGGAAUUACUGGGCUUAAAGGGUGCGUAGGCGGCGCAGUAAGUUGGGUGUGAAAGUCCCUCGGCUUAACCGAGGAAUUGCGCCCAAAACUACUGUGCUCGAGGGAGAUAGAGGUGAGCGGAACUUAGGGUGGAGCGGUGAAAUGCGUUGAUAUCCUAAGGAACACCGGUGGCGAAAGCGGCUCACUGGAUCUCUUCUGACGCUGAGGCACGAAAGCUAGGGUAGCAAACGGG